AGUUCAUAUCAACCAAAAAGAUAUAAUUUCAAUCAAAAUACAGCAAGAUAUGAUAUUGAGUUUACAUAACUCAUAAAUAUAUAAAGUCAGCCAAAUACAUCAAUACAUAUACAAGUAGUCAACAUCCAUAGUUUCAUCCACAAAAUAUAACAUAAUACAAGGACUAAUCAUCAGAAUCAGAGGAAGAAAUCUCAUGAUAAACAAAAAAAUGAGAUGAGGCACGACCACAUCAUCCUGGGCUCCUACUAGAGGAUCUGGCA
rnacentral:lncRNA from 1 species